GACGAACGCUGGCGGCGUGCCUAAUACAUGCAAGUAGAACGCACAGCUUAUACCGUAGCUUGCUACACCAUAAACUGUGAGUUGCGAACGGGUGAGUAACGCGUAGGUAACCUGCCUGGUAGCGGGGGAUAACUAUUGGAAACGAUAGCUAAUACCGCAUAAUAUUGAUUAUUGCAUGAUAAUUGAUUGAAAGAUGCUAUUGCAUCACUACCAGAUGGACCUGCGUUGUAUUAGCUAGUAGGUGAGGUAACGGCUCACCUAGGCGACGAUACAUAGCCGACCUGAGAGGGUGAUCGGCCACACUGGGACUGAGACACGGCCCAGACUCCUACGGGAGGCAGCAGUAGGGAAUCUUCGGCAAUGGACGAAAGUCUGACCGAGCAACGCCGCGUGAGUGAAGAAGGUUUUCGGAUCGUAAAGCUCUGUUGUAAGAGAAGAACGGGUGUGAGAGUGGAAAGUUCACACUGUGACGGUAUCUUACCAGAAAGGGACGGCUAACUACGUG
rnacentral:rRNA from 1 species